rnacentral:rRNA from 1 species
UACGAAGGGUGCAAACGUUGCUCGGAAUCAUUGGGCGUAAAGCGCGCGUAGGCGGCUUCGCAAGUCGGAUGUGAAAUCCCAUGGCUCAACCAUGGACGUGCAUUCGAAACUGCGAAGCUUGAGUAUGGAAGAGGGUCGCGGAAUUCCCGGUGUAGAGGUGAAAUUCGUAGAUAUCGGGAGGAAGACCAGUGGCGAAGGCGGCGACCUGGACCAAUACUGACGCUGAGGUGCGAAAGCGUGGGGAGCAAACAGG